UACGGAAUGUGCAAACGUUAUUCGGAAUCACUGGGCUUAAAGAGUCCGUAGGCGGCUUGUUAGGUGAGGUGUGAAAUCCCUCGGCCCAACCGAGGAAUUGCGCUUCAAACCGGCAAGCUAGAGGAGGAUAGAGGUGGGCGGAACUGAUGGUGGAGCGGUGAAAUGCGUUGAUAUCAUCAGGAACACCGGAGGCGAAGGCGGCUCACUGGGUCUUUUCUGACGCUGAGGAACGAAAGCUAGGGGAGCAAACGGG
rnacentral:rRNA from 1 species